GAUGAAGAACGCAGCGAAAUGCGAUAAAUAAUGUGAAUUGCAGAAUUCCGUGAAUCAUCGAAUCUUUGAACGCACAUUGCGCCCGCCAGUAUUCUGGCGGGCAUGCCUGUUCGAGCGUCAUUUCAACCAUCAAGCCCCCGGCUUGUGUUGGGGACCUGCGGCUGCCGCAGGCCCUGAAAAGCAGUGGCGGGCUCGCUGUCACACCGAGCGUAGUAGCAUACAUCUCGCUCUGGGCGUGCUGCGGGUUCCGGCCGUUAAACCACCUUCAUAACCCAAGGUUGACCUCGGAUCAGGUAGGAAGACCCGCUGAACUUAAGCAUAUCAAUAAGCGGAGGA
rnacentral:misc_RNA from 1 species